rnacentral:tRNA from 1 species
GCCGUGGUAGCUCAGGGGUAGAGCAACUGAUUCGUAAUCAGUAGGUCGGAGGUUCAAAUCCUCUCCACGGCA